GAUUAAAUUAUACUUUUAGUUUUUUGACACAAAUUCGACUGAUGCAUUAAUUAGGUAAAGUUAAAAAAUUACAAAUUCCUAAAAAACCACUGUGUCUCCUAAUCCUACCAUCUAUCACUAAACCAUUGCUUCCCGUGGGCGGUGCCUCGGUAUUGGAAUUUCGUAAGGCCUAAAAGAAGCGCCUAAACCUUGUAGAAGAAACAAACACACAUUUUCAUAAAGAAACUAAAAAAAAUGAAACCCUAAAUUCUUAACUUUCCCUUACCCUUCUUCUUUAUUAUUGCAACGUCGAAUGUCCCUUUGGGAGGGAACUGGUAUUCCUCAGGCAGUGUGCGUGGGUCAUUUUCUUCCCCCAGUUCCUCUAAUCUCUGAGUUCUUCGAAGAUCUUGUAACAAAUCCUAUUUCUUCUCCAGACUCAACCUAUCAAAACAUUGUCUCCGCCUCCUCUAGCUUCUUCCCCUUUGGUCCUUCAAAACCAUAGGUUCAACCUCCGGUGGAGUUUCUUCCGUCCAUAAGGUCGGGGAGUAACAUCCUCCCCCCCCCAUGCAGCCACCCGUGCGCCGCUUCGUUUGCUUCACGCGAUAUUUUUUUAAUCACAGUCAUUGAAUCCCUUUCGACUAUUACUUCGCCAAAUCCCAUUUCUUCUACAAAGACAACCCCUUGGAGACAUGCAUAUGCUUCUGCAGUUGUCAGAUCUCAAACGUUUUUGACCGGGUAAACACAUGAACCCAUUAUGAGUCCCAUGUUGUUUUCGAUAAUUAUUCCAGAGAUUGUUCUGUUGUUUUGUUAUUGAAACACGAUAUUAAAAUCUACUUUGACUUGUUCCUCUAUUGGGGGUUCUCAAUGGGCUUCUUUUCUAUUGUGCUUGCAUUCUAGUACUUCGUCUAAUAUGCUUAGUUCUAUAAUAUAUGCUUUGAUAAAGCCUACUAUAUCACAUAUCCUCUGCUGAAUACCUUUAUGGAAAAAUUUGUUCCUAUUAUGCCAUAUUGCCCAGAAUGAAAUUGCUAGACAUAUACAUUGGUAUGUGUUAUUGAUGUUAAAAGUCUCAGCUAACUAGUGUUUCCAUUCUUGAUUUUCACAUAUGGGCGUGAAUAUCACUUCUAUUUGUUGGAGAACUUGUUUUGCAAGAUUACAAUCUUGGAAGAUAUGGUUGAUUGAUUUGUCUUCUUCAUCGCAUAGUGGACAUAGAGCAUCAAACCUCAGCUUACGGGCUUUUAGGUUACUUAGUGUAGGCAAAUAAUUGUUUGUAAUUCUACAUAAGCUGAUUCGUACCUUGUUGGAAACUUUUAGGCUCCAUAAUUUUGAAUAAAAGUUUUUUGUAGAUCUGGAUGUAUUGUAUUUUCAUAUCCCAACAUGUCUUGUUCCUCUGUAAUACACCACUUGUAACCACUUUUAACUAUAUAUUUCCCCUAGUGGGAUUGAACUCAA